rnacentral:rRNA from 1 species
GACGAACGCUGGCGGCGUGCCUUAACACAUGCAAGUCAACUUGACUGAAGGAGCAAUCUGACAGUAGAGUGGCGCAAGGGUGCGUAACGCGUAAGUAACUUGCCCCAAGGUAAGGAAUAACGUCGAGAAAUCGGCGCUAAUACCUCAUAAUGACAGCGGAUCCGCAUGGAUAUGUUGUUAAAGGUUUUACCGCCUUGGGAUAGGCUUGCGUCUGAUUAGCUAGUUGGUGUGGUAACGGCACACCAAGGCUACGAUCAGUAACUGGUCUGAGAGGAUGAUCAGUCACAACUGGAACUGAGACACGGUCCAGACUCCUACGGGAGGCAGCAGUGAGGAAUAUUGGGCAAUGCUCGAAAGAGUGACCCAGCAACGCCGCGUGGAGGAUGAAGGUAUUCUAUAUCGUAAACUCCUGUGAGAGCAGACGAAAGACAGA